ACGUGCCGGAGUGGUUAACGGGACGGCCUGCUAAGCCGUUGCUCUCAGAGCGCGAGAGUUCGAAUCUCUCCGUUG
rnacentral:tRNA from 1 species